rnacentral:rRNA from 1 species
UACGGAGGGUGCAAGCGUUAUCCGGAUUCACUGGGUUUAAAGGGUGCGUAGGCGGGCAGGUAAGUCAGUGGUGAAAUCUUUGGGCUUAACCCGAAAACUGCCAUUGAUACUAUCUGUCUUGAAUAUUGUGGAGGUUAGCGGAAUAUGUCAUGUAGCGGUGAAAUGCUUAGAUAUGACAUAGAACACCUAUUGCGAAGGCAGCUAACUACGCAUAUAUUGACGCUGAGGCACGAAAGCGUGGGGAUCAAACAGG